AUGGCGAGUGGCGAACGGGUGAGUAACAUAUCGGAACGUAUCCAAUAAUGGGGGAUAACUAAUCGAAAGGUUGGCUAAUACCGCAUACGCCCUACGGGGGAAAGCAGGGGAUCUUCGGACCUUGCGUUAAUGGAGCGGCCGAUAUCUGAUUAGGUAGUUGGUAGGGUAAAGGCCUACCAAGCCGACGAUCAGUAGCUGGUCUGAGAGGACGAUCAGCCACACUGGAACUGAGACACGGUCCAGACUCC
rnacentral:rRNA from 1 species